rnacentral:rRNA from 1 species
UACGUAGGUGGCAAGCGUUGUCCGGAAUUAUUGGGCGUAAAAGCGCGCGCAGGCGGCCUCUUAAGUCUGAUGUGAAAGCCCCCGGCUCAACCGGGGAGGGCCAUUGGAAACUGGGAGGCUUGAGUAUAGGAGAGAAGAGUGGAAUUCCACGUGUAGCGGUGAAAUGCGUAGAGAUGUGGAGGAACACCAGUGGCGAAGGCGACUCUUUGGCCUAUAACUGACGCUGAGGCGCGAAAGCGUGGGGAGCAAACAGG